AGAAUUCAUUGCAGAUUAAAGUAGGCAUUAUGAUUUCAAUGGAACAAAAGAGUUAUCUUCAAAACAUGUCACAACUGCCUGGGAAAGCUCAUAAUAAGAAGCUACUAAUGAGAACCUGCUAAUAAGCAGCUCAAAAAUACCUCAAAAUAACUCAACCAUGAGCUUCUCCAUCCCCCAGUCCAACCUGCACACAUCAAAGAGAAAAAAUAUGGAAGAAAAUUGCAUAUUGAUCAUUACCUGAAUUUUUGUUGUGGGGAACUUUUGUUGGGCACAGUUUGAGAAGCUUAAUACAUAUGAAAAAAGGAAAAUACUUAAAUGGAACAAAAUGUGGGGUUCCACAUCCCUUUUGAAAAGAAAGGUUUUAUGUGAACAAUGUAUCUUGGAAUCAGUCCAUCAUAAACUUCUGACUUCUAUAACUAGAUCGAGAUGCUCAUAUGACCAGUAAGAGUCUAUUAUAAACAAUGACUUUUGCUUGUAAUUUAGAAAAAUGGAUUUUCCUCUUACUACCAGAAGAGAUGUGAGAGGUUUUGAGAUCUGGAGCUUCUCCAGCCACUGUGCAAUAAUAAGAAGAGAGCCUGUUUGAGAAUGAAUCCAUUUGAAAUGACACCGAGAAGAAAUUUUACUCAACCAAGUUUACUGUUUUUCACUUUUCAUACGUUUUUGAGAACUUUCAGGAGGAUGAAUAUUUGUAGUUGACAAAAUAUAUUGCAUGAGAAAUUGUAACUCUCUUCAACCAUUCACUUUCUCAAGAUAAAAAGAAACAAGUGACUUCGCCUGUCAUCCCAGCACUUUGGAGGCCGAGGCGGGUGAAUCACUUAAGGUUAGGAGCUCAAGAGCAGCCUGGCUAAAAUGGUGAAACCCAUUCUAUACUACAAAUACCAAAAAUUACCCAGGCAUGGUGAUGCGCGCCUGUAAUCCCUCCUACUUGAGAGGCUGAGGGACGGGAAUUGCUGGAACCCGGGAGGUGGAGGCUGCAGUGAGCCAAGAUCGCACCACGGCACUCCAGCCUGGGAGACAGAGUGAGACUACAUCAAAAAAAAAAAAAAAAAAAAGGAAAAAUAAAAAAAAGUAACUUAUCUGUACUUUUCUGAUGCUAAAUUGUAAGACUCAUUUUUUUUUGUUGUUAUUGAACAUGUUUUAUAAAUUUUUUAAUAGACAUCACUGAUGUUUUACAAGCCCCUUGUGUUUAGCAAACCUAUUUCUGGUGUUUUGUUUUUGGUGGUGUUUUUCUUCAUGCUAAUUAAUUUUUCUAAGAUUAUUUCUGAAUGUGUUCUGAACAUAGGACCCAAGUAUAUAGGAUAUCACAGAUAUCCUAUCACAGAUAUCCUAUCACAGAUAUCACAGAUAUCCUAUCACAGAUAUCACAGAUAUCCUAUAAGUCUGAGAACUAGCUGUCAUCAUUUCAUGGUCUUUUAAAUUUUAAAUCUCAAGUAGCUAAAGUCUGAAUAACAUUAAAAUAUAAAUAGACAUUUAAAACUAGUUUUUAGAGAAAUUGACAGUGAAUUCAACUACACAUAUGUCACAUAGUAAUUGAAUGCAUUACCACUAAACUUUUUUUUGAACAAUUUCUUGAAAUUCAGUCUUUAAUAUAUGUUCCCUGUGGUUUAUCAAACUCUAAAUGUCUGUUUGGUAAAAACUCAAGUUAGAGAUAUGGUAAGUAAAUGACAUAGCAAUGCCUUUACAUUGUACUUUUAAAAUAAAUUAGUGAUUUCCAAUUCCA